rnacentral:rRNA from 1 species
CAGUCGCCGCGGUAAUACGAGGGGGGCGAGCGUUGUUCGGAAUUAUUGGGCGUAAAGGGUGCGCAGGCGGUUUGUUAAGUCAGAUGUGAAAUCCCCGAGCUUAACUCGGGAACUGCAUUUGAAACUGGCAGGCUAGAGUCUCGUAGAGGGGGGUAGAAUUCCAGGUGUAGCGGUGAAAUGCGUAGAGAUCUGGAGGAAUACCGGUGGCGAAGGCGGCCCCCUGGACGAAGACUGACGCUCAGGUACGAAAGCGUGGGGAGCAAACAGGAUUAGAUACCCCGGUAGUCCCUGUCUCUUAUAC